CGCCUCUUGCAACUAUAAGAGGUCCAGCCUGCCCAGUGACCCAGUUCAACGGCCGCGGUAUCCUAACCGUGCGAAGGUAGCGUAAUCACUUGUUUUCUAAAUAAAAACUAGUAUGAAAGGCACCACGAGAAUUAAGCUGUCUCCCUUUUCUAAUCAGUAAACCUAAUCUCCCCGUGAAGAAGCGGGGAUCAUAUAAUAAGACGAGAAGACCCUAUGGAGCUUUAAACAUGAUAAUCAUAUGACUUAACUUUACACACACCCAGGUGCACACCCUCACACAUAAUGAUUAUAUGUUUUCGGUUGGGGUGACCGCGGAGAAUAAACCAUCCCCCGCGAUGAUAAGGGCCCCCCCCCAAACAACAAGCCACAGCUUUAUGUAUCAACAAAUUGACACAAUUGACCCAAUAUAUUGAUUAACGAACCAAGUUACCCUAGGGAUAACAGCGCAAUCCACUUCAAGAGUCCCUAUCGACAAGUGGGCUUACGACCUCGAUGUUGGAUCAGGGUAUCCUAGUGGUGCAGCCCCUACUAAAGGU
rnacentral:rRNA from 1 species